rnacentral:rRNA from 1 species
GUCCACGCUGUAAACGAUGGGCACUAGGUGUUCGGGGUAUUGACCCCCUGAGUGCCGCAGCUAACGCAUUAAGUGCCCCGCCUGGGGACUACGGCCGCAAGGUUAAAACUCAAAGGAAUUGACGGGGGCCCGCACAAGCGGUGGAGCAUGUGGUUCAAUUCGACGCAACGCGAAGAACCUUACCUGGGCUAGACAACAUCGGACAGCCCUAGAAAUAGGGUCUUCCCGCAAGGGACCGGUGGUUCAGGUGCUGCAUGGCUGUCGU